rnacentral:rRNA from 1 species
UACGUAGGGCGCGAGCGUUGUCCGGAAUUAUUAGGCGUAAAGAGCUCGUAGGCGGCUUGUUGCGUCUGCUGUGAAAUCCCGGGGCUUAACCCCGGGCGUGCAGUGGAUACGGGCAGGCUGGAGGCAGGCAGGGGAGAAUGGAAUUCCCGGUGUAGCGGUGAAAUGCGCAGAUAUCGGGAGGAACACCGGUGGCGAAGGCGGUUCUCUGGGCCUGUACUGACGCUGAGGAGCGAAAGCGUGGGGAGCGAACAGG